GUUUGUUAUUUUUGUUGUUUUUU
rnacentral:sRNA from 1 species